CCCCUCGAUUUCCGCCGCAGGCCGGACUAUAUCUGCCCCGUCCCCUCGGGGACUAUGGCGAUAAACGGCAUGUGGAAUAAGCGUUGCGGACCCGGGGGCAGUGCCCGGCGUCUCCACCAGCAUCGCCGCCAGGGAUCGUCUGGCGGGCUUCUGGGGACGAAACAGGCUCGACGCGCGUGGUAAAGCCAUGUCUUUUGCCCGGCAUUGUACCGCCGUUAUCGGGCUAUAUCACAAGUGCCAACGAUAACAGCCGCGAGGCUGUGGCGCUCGCUGCCUAACAAUAGGUAAGCGCGGUCCGGGGGGAACCGGGCAACAGAAUCCCCCCACU
rnacentral:tmRNA from 1 species